UGAUUUUGUAGUGUUUACAUAUUUUCCAAUGUAAAUACUGUCCUACCCUAUCGUGGCGAUUUUUGUAUUCGUUUUGUGUCAGCACAGGACACCCCAUGACGAGAUGGUUUAUUGUUUCAUCAAAUAUAUUGCAGAAUCUGCAUUUUGGGUCAGACACCGCACUAUAUAAUAAAA